rnacentral:tRNA from 1 species
GCCUCGGUGGCGAAAUUGGCAAACGCGCCGGCUUAGGGGGCCGGUGGCGGAAACGCCUUGAGGGUUCGAUCCCCUCCCGAGGCACCA